rnacentral:rRNA from 2 species
UUGAUCCCUGGCUCAGGAUGAACGCUGGCGGCGUGCCUAAUACAUGCAAGUCGAGCGAAUGGAUUAAGAGCUUGCUCUUAUGAAGUUAGCGGCGGACGGGUGAGUAACACGUGGGUAACCUACCCAUAAGACUGGGAUAACUCCGGGAAACCGGGGCUAAUACCGGAUAAUAUUUUGAACUGCAUAGUUCGAAAUUGAAAGGCGGCUUCGGCUGUCACUUAUGGAUGGACCCGCGUCGCAUUAGCUAGUUGGUGAGGUAACGGCUCACCAAGGCGACGAUGCGUAGCCGACCUGAGAGGGUGAUCGGCCACACUGGGACUGAGACACGGCCCAGACUCCUACGGGAGGCAGCAGUAGGGAAUCUUCCGCAAUGGACGAAAGUCUGACGGAGCAACGCCGCGUGAGUGAUGAAGGCUUUCGGGUCGUAAAACUCUGUUGUUAGGGAAGAACAAGUGCUAGUUGAAUAAGCUGGCACCUUGACGGUACCUAACCAGAAAGCCACGGCUA